AUCCCACCAAAAUGAUCUAGUGAUCGCGGCAGUGGACUUAUUGAUGCCCGGGUGUCCAGCAGUUAUAUUGUCAUGGAACACUUUCAUGAUAUUAACCCUUUCACAUAGGGGAACGAACAGUUUAUCACACGGUUUACCACUGGGCACCUGAGGCUGGGCCUCCAGUAUGGUGCCAAGCAGUGGAGAAGACAGUGAGAGGACAAUAGUGGCAAUAAUACACUCUGGUGGAAUAAUAGGAGAUGUCACCUGUUCUGGAGCUGACUCAUUAUCAAAUUGCCUGGACAAGGCAUCAGCCUUGGUAUUUUUAGAACCAGGUCUAUA